UGGCAUUCUAACACCUAGCAAAUCAAAUUAGAAAUCCUUAUUUGCUUUUAGGAUUUACCAGGUCAGUGUCCCCUUCGGGUGGCAACCCUACUACUGCUGAUUCUUUUUGGACCCUGCUUUCAGGAGAAUUGCCAAGACGUUGAAUAGGUCGCUGCAAUUCACUAUUGUCAUUUGAGUUCUCUCCGUCUCUAUGAUUCCUCUUUGGUCGAUAUCAAGUUUAAAGGUUGGGUUACCUUGGCACAGAGGAUGGUUUUAUUCGCAGGUUUCUCUCUUUCAUGUGACGGAGUUUUCAGACUUGCUUAGAUGCAGUAAGAGCUGCAGGCUUAGGUGGACAGCCUAUAUAUCUCAAGCUAGGCCUUAAACGCCGUAACUUCACAGAUCAGAUCAUGAGGAGAAGAUGAUAAUCCACCUCCAAGCUUUUUGCUCAACAGCCUCUGAAGUCUUACCUUCCUCGGAGAGCAGAGAAUGAUACUAAAAAAAUUAUUGGGAUAUCCACCUUACGAGAAGUCUCAAAAAGCUUCAAAGAUCUUCUGAGGGCCAUGAUCAAGUUGUGUUCAUUAGUUUGCUCACAGUGAAACGCUGAGGACCAGCGGGAGAGAAGGCUUCAAAUAGAUAUUCACAGGACUAACGAGAUCUAUGUGAGGCCUUGUCCUUGCACAAGCCAAAUUAUGCGCAUGACGUAACUGAACUCACUCCCCAUGGGCCAUCAUCUUUACACAAGACCAAUCCAAUCAUCUACUCUUUUCUUCUGUUCCUGAAAACAUAGCCCCUUUGUUUCUAUAUUUGAAUUUCUUUGGUUGGGAUUGUAAAACAAUAUUACUUUAAACUUUCAGUUCUCAGUA